rnacentral:rRNA from 1 species
AAGUCGUGAGGCGGAGCUAAUCCCUUUAAAGCCAUUCUCAGUUCGGAUUGUAGGCUGAAACUCGCCUACAUGAAGCUGGAGUUACUAGUAAUGGCAGGUCAGCAUACUGCCGUGAAUACGUUCCCGGGCCUUGUACACACCGCCCGUCACACCAUGAGAGUUGGGAAUACCCGAAGCCUGUGAGCUAACUUAUAGAGGCAGCAGUCGAAGGUAGAAUCAAUGAUUGGGGUGAAGUCGUAACAAGGUACC